rnacentral:rRNA from 1 species
AUAUUGGACAAUGGGCGAAAGCCUGAUCCAGCCAUGCCGCGUGUGUGAAGAAGGUCUUCGGAUUGUAAAGCACUUUAAGUUGGGAGGAAGGGCAGUAAGUUAAUACCUUGCUGUUUUGACGUUACCGACACAAUAACCACCGUCUAACUGCGGCCCUGCAUCCGCGGUAAUACGAAGGGUGCAAGCGUUUAUCGGAAUUACUGGGCGUAAAGCGCGCGUAGGUGGUUCGUUAAGUUGGAAGUGAAAGCACCGGGCUUAACCUGGGAAUUGCUUUCAAAACUGACGAGCUAGAGUACGGUAGAGGGUAGUGGAAUUUCCUGUGUAGCGGUGAAAUGCGUAGAUAUAGGAAGGAACAUCAGUGGCGAAGGCGACUACCUGGACUGAUACUGACACUGAGGUGCGAAAGCGUGGGGAGCAAACAGG